CCAGCUACUGGGAUGAAAAUCAACUUUGCCCCAGCCAAAACCAGCAUCUUUUAUUUGAAUCUGAACAACAACAAACUUAGCUUUAACGUUUUAUUAAUAAAGAGAAUACUGUAUAAUUCUCUCAGUGUGUAUCAGUAAUAAUUGAAUUGUUCAUAUUUAUAUUGCAAAAAGAUUUUUUUUUCCUUUGGUUUAUCUAGGAAGAGCUGAGAAGAACCCAAAUAGAAAGCUUUUUCUUCUGUGUUCUAUUGCAAUGUCAUCUUUGAAGAUGUUAUUGCUGGAAUUAAUUACUUCUCCAUAUGCCAGAGCACUAGCAUCCUGAAUUUGUUACAUCAAAGGAUAUUGGCUGAGAAGACAAAUAAUUAAAUGACCCGUAACACAGAUACAUGGAAUAAAGCAACCUGCCUUAAUUAGGCUGAGACUAAUUAGGAUGCAAAUGAGACUAAAUGAAUGCAAAAACUUGGAUUGUAACUCACAAGAAGGAUUGAACGGGUAUGCUUGAUCUGGAUUUUCCAAGCAAGGACCCUGAGUUGGUGACCACUUUCCGGAGCCGCCUCCUUCAGAAGUAUUGCCAGGAGUGGACCUGGAUUCUCGUUUGUCUCAUGUGGGCUGUGGCCUGUGUCAAACACGGCCAGUUUAGGAGAGCGUAACAAGCUGCAGAAAUCUGUUAGCUUCCCUUGGGUUGGAAAGGCUUCUUGAGAAGGUUUCUGGAAGUCAGGAGCAUCUGUUGCCGUGGAAGAGGGAAUAUGGAUGUCUUCAACUUAAAGAACAUUGUACCAGCUCAGCAACAAAAAACUGCGGAGAAUCUGCCUAUGAACCCACCAGGGAAGAUCAGGACAUCGAUGUCUGGUACCUAGUGGCUGUAUCCCCUCUCAGAGACAGAAAAUGGCCUCAAGACACCACGCACUGAAAAUUUUGUUUCAAGGGGGAUUUCAAUAAUUCAAAACCCUUGCUGGCCCAGUUGGGGAAAAAAAUGAUAAUAUUGAAAUGAUCAGAAAGCUGGGGAAACUAGAACAUCUCUACAUUGCCAGAUUCUUCUCCUGACUCUAAAAUAUGACAUAAAAUAUUUCAUAGGUUAAUAAAAUGCUUAGAAUAAAUGGUGCUGUGUUGUCAACAGAACCUUGCUUGGCUGAUAUUUUUCUUACUGUGCUUGUGUGUAGCAGGGCUGGAAAUGAUGAUGUAUCAGUAAAAGGGAAACAGAUCAGAUUGGUUAAUCAGAUGCAAAUUGGUAUCUUUUUAACUAUCAGAGUAGAGAGAAAGAAGAAAAAAAUGCCUUGAAAGGAAAGUCUCUGUGUAAGAAUGAAACACCACAUAUUUUUUCACUCUGUUGUUUAUAUUGCAAAAGUAUGUAGAAGGCCAAUAAAGGAAAGAGCUUUACUUUGCUAGAUAGCUUCAAGCUAAUACAAAAGGCUGCAGUGUGGAAGAAAAGAUGAAAGAAUGUGACUACAAAAAUGGACAGUAUAGUUUUACCAUAUUUCAAUUUUUAUCUGAGCCAACGGCAGUAAGGAAAUAAGUCCAUGAAAGUUAAGCAACUUUCUGAUUUCUCAAGAGAAUCUGUGGUCAAAUUUCUUCUGUUCUUGUGAAUAAAGAUGGAUUCUCCUGUUUUUCUGUGACAAAUGACUAUUUCUGCCUGUUUAUAGGGAAGGAAGAUGCAGUCAGAAGAAAAAUUCCAUGUUGUAGCUGCCUUUGACAGGCUCUUUGUUUUACUCAGGUUGUUUGGAAGAGUGAGGAAAUAAUGUGUGAUAAAUAGAUAUAAAUGUGAAGUCAUGUGAAUAUACAGAAAAGAAAAAAUAGAAAACAAGAAAAAAAUUCCCCCCAAAACUCCAAGUUUGAUGCAGAGGGUGGUAUCCAUUCUUACAGAACUUUUUUUUCAAGGAGUUGGAAGUUCAUUAAAAUAUCUAUUAAAAUCUAUAUCCAUCUGUAUUUUACAAAACCAAGGAACUACAUUUUCGCAUGUGAGGGGAAAAUCUUCAAAACACAUCUGUCACAAUGACUCUCCCAAUGGAUCCAUAGACUUUAGUACAAAUGUUUGUUGACUGACAUUGUAACUUUUCAGACUGUCACUGUUUCUUGCCUCAUUUUCUUCCCACCCUCUGCUGAAUCAACCUAUGUAUCAAAAAAAUUAAUUUAAUUUUGAAUCAUUAUAAAUGCAACUUAAUUGCUCACUAUAUAAGAAUUCAACUUCCAAAAUCUGCAUCUCCUUUUCAGAUUCUCUCACAUUUUUUCAGGUUCAGAACACAACCUGCAAAAUCUAUUUUUAGCAUUUUUAAACAUUUCAUUUCUGCAAGCAUGAGUUCCUUUGGACCUUGUGACAUGUUUGUCAUUCCUUCACAGAAAACAUUCAACACCUUCACUCACACAGCACAACUGAAUUCCUUGCAUUUUCCAAAGUAAGGACAAGCUAUCCCUUUACAGCUGUUACCAAUAAGGGCACCUGGCUACAUUGCUUCAAGAGCAAGUGAAAACCACAUUGCAACUCUUUUUUGCUCUUUUGAGGUUGGGUUUUUUUCCCCUUCUCUUUCUUUUCUUCUCCUGAUCAGUGCUGUCAAGCAGUUUCUCUGAUGUGUGGAUGGUCACAGCCACAGGUGACCCGGUCCUUUGCCACAGCAGUGUGAAAGCUGUGGUAGCACAGCCAUUUUUGUUCAACGCUUGGUAUAACCAGGCUUAAUCCAGAUCAAUUAUUGGCGUUACCACAGCAUUCCAGAAAAUGUGACUGGGAGAUAUGUUUUCAGGCUGAAACUUUCUGUUCAUUCUGAGGGGCCAUGGUGCUGGAUCUGCAGUCCUGCUUCUCUUUCUAGAGAGAAUGCAAUUAGUUAGACUGUGCAAUUUGGCCUCAUUAAGUACACCUGUCAUGGGAUUAGCAGGAAGUGGGAAAAAAACUACAAAAUCACAUUUAGGGUUACCUUUGCCAUGACAUAUACAAACACAGUACAUAGCACCUGGAGUGUGAGAAGACCAUGUUGUUUUCUGUAGGAGUUCUUCAGGUAAGAAACAAACAAAAUCUUGAUACUUAAUAGAGCAGUGUCAUAUGGUUUGGUUUUUUGCAUUAUCCAGGUUCUGCUCUGAUCCUUAGAUGUGGGCUGUUGAAGUUACUUUAUAAACUUGAAUUACAAUAGAGGCAAACAUGUGCACCCUGUGGAAAUAAUGACAAAACAGGUAUUUCUUGUCUUAAAAAUAGGCACAACAUUCCUUAAAUAUACAAUUUCUAAUUUCAGACUUGAUCUGGAAUGUUUCCGUUAUUUUUGAGUGAUGAUAGGUAGAGUCUCCCUGCAGGUAAUACUUUUACUAGUAAAUAGUGAAAUGUAUAUCUGAAACAUAGAGGUCGGAGUGAAUUGGAAAUUAAAUUGUUUAGCCAGUCUUUUAAUUUCUGUUUGGUUAUGGCUCCUUUCUUUCAAAAGGAUUUAAGUAGAGAAUGGAUUUGAGGACUUGCUUGCAUUUAAAUCCAUCUAACUCCGUCUCCCUGUCCAUGUCUUUGGUAAAAGGUCAUUUCUUCGCAUGAAUUUGUAAAACGACUGUUCUGGUGUACUUCAUAAGCCUGGUAUUUAAGAGGUUAUUCUGCAAC